rnacentral:rRNA from 1 species
CCUACGGGUGGCAGCAGUGAGGAAUAUUGGUCAAUGGGCGAGAGCCUGAACCAGCCAAGUCGCGUGAGGGAAGACGGUCCUACGGAUUGUAAACCUCUUUUGUCAGGGAGCAAGGAGCGCCACGAGUGGUGCGGCGAGAGUACCUGAAGAAAAAGCAUCGGCUAACUCCGUGCCAGCAGCCGCGGUAAUACGGAGGAUGCGAGCGUUAUCCGGAUUUAUUGGGUUUAAAGGGUGCGUAGGUGGUUAAUUAAGUCAGCGGUGAAAGUUUGUGGCUCAACCAUAAAAUUGCCGUUGAAACUGGUUGACUUGAGUAUAUUUGAGGUAGGCGGAAUGCGUGGUGUAGCGGUGAAAUGCAUAGAUAUCACGCAGAACUCCGAUUGCGAAGGCAGCUUACUAAACUAUAACUGACACUGAAGCACGAAAGCGUGGGGAUCAAACAGGAUUAGAUACCCGUGUAGUC